CUUACAUCAUCACAAGAAGAAAAAGAUGAUUCUACCCUGUGAAUUCUAGCUGCCUUGGCCUCCUAGCUGCAUCUCCUCAACUCAGGGAGACCAUUGGACUCCACCUAGGUGCACUGUGGCUUGAAAAUGCUCUCGAGAUGCAGAUGGCCUGACCUGUGGGAGACGAUGAGGGAAUUUUUGUUGAACAAAUGACUUCUCUGCCUCUGUUUGCCCUGUUAAUGCUUCAUGCCUUCUCGAGUCCACACCUGUCAAUUAAGUGGGAGAAGCUCUAGGGUCCAGCAAUGUGUGUUUGAGCAAGAUUUCUAAGUGGAUGCAUGCUGAGUUUGAAGAACCACCGCUGUCUCUACACUGUUGCAUCUUUUCUUGAAGUUUCGUUCAAAAACAUGUCUACGUCUGUAUAAAAAACAUCCGAUGCAUUAGCCACUAAAAUAUUAACAGAGUCGUCUCUGGAUGGUGGGAUCCUGGGUUGUCGGGGAGAACCACACGUGAGCUGACAGUGCAACACGGUGUGAGAACAGCUGUAUGAAGAGGAAGACACUGGAAGCAGCCAGGUCGCACAUGUAUUAGCACAGGUGUCAACGCCUCACAGCUCUGCCAGGGUGAGUCAGACGUGUCUCUGGAUCAGCGGGCUGGCACCCAGAAAGGAGAGUCGCCGGGGUGAGAGCAAGGGCAGCCCCGAACCUCGAUGCAUGGGGACCUGCAGGUGACCUUCCCUGGAAGCUGCAGGUGCCCCCGUCCCCGGCCUCCGCGGAGCUGAAGGUCCAGUUGGGGCCGUGGCAUCUGGGGAUCUGACCUGGAGACCCCCCACCCCACCUCCCCCUUCCUUUCAGCCCCCUGUCACCCAGAUGAACAGCAAGCAGCUCAGGGACAAGACGCAUGGGUGGCUUCUCUGCCCGGCCCCGUGCUGACCUCCAGAGCAUAAAACGAUGGUGGCUUUUUCACCUGUGUCUUCGAAACCUAGCACGAAAUGUCCCGCGGGGCCAGCACCACCCCGGAACCAGACGGGAAAAGAGCGCUGGGACACGCAGCUCCAGCCUGGCUAGGCUGCUGCGGUUCAAGGCCCCCUGGCCGGUCACAACCGUGAUUACAAAGGGAGGGCCCUGGGAGUGCUGGAUUUGCCUCCAGUCCUGCCCUUGACCUGCUCUUAGGUAACUUAGCUCCUCCAUGGCUCAGUUUCUCACCUUUGUAAUGUGUGUACAAGAUGCACACCUUCCUGAUAGAGUUGCCGAGAAGACAAUGGGUCCCAUCCAGCAGCUGAGAGCUCACGAGCAGUUAGUGAAUAAUUCCCAUCUGUGUCAGAGUUUGCUAUCCAGCUGUUCUGCGAUGGGGGAAAAACAGUCCCUCCCUUGUCUUAAAAGGUAAAAUAUUAAGAAGA